rfam:Karshi virus strain LEIV 2247, complete genome
UGGACGCAGGCGGCAGCACACCAUUAACAUCGGUGACGGGAAGAUAGUCGCUCCCGACGCAUGUGGACCAGUGAAAACUUUGUGAGACUGA